rnacentral:rRNA from 1 species
CCUACGGGAGGCAGCAGUGGGGAAUAUUGGGCAAUGGGCGCAAGCCUGACCCAGCAACGCCGCGUGAAGGAUGAAGGUUUUCGGAUUGUAAACUUCUGUCGCUAGGGACGAAGAAUGACGGUACCUCGUAAGAAAGCCCCGGCUAACUACGUGCCAGCAGCCGCGGUAAUAAGUAGGGGGCAAGCGUUGGCCGGAAUGACUGGGCGUAAAGGGAGUGUAUGCGGUCUUGUAGGGUAGAUGGGAAAUCCUACGGCUUAAACGUAGAACUGAAUCUAAAACUGUGAGGCUGGAGUGCAGGAGAGGUGAGUGGAAUUCCUGGUGUAGCGGUGGAAUGCGUAGAUAUUAGGAGGAACACCGGAGGCGAAGGCGACUCACUGGACUGUAACUGACGCUGAGGCUCGAAAGCGUGGGUAGCAAACAGGAUUAGAUACCCGGGUAGUC